UACGGAGGGUGCAAGCGUUAUCCAGAUUCACUGGGUUUAAAGGGUGCGUAGGUGGGAUGGUAAGUCAGUGGUGAAAUCUCCAAGCUUAACUUGGAAACUGCCGUUGAUACUAUCAUUCUUGAAUCUCGUGGAGGUAAGCGGAAUAUGUCAUGUAGCGGUGAAAUGCUUAGAUAUGACAUAGAACACCGAUAGCGAAGGCAGCUUGCUACACGAGUAUUGACACUGAGGCACGAAAGCGUGGGGAGCGAACAGG
rnacentral:rRNA from 1 species